GAUGAAUGCUGGCGGCGUGCCUAACACAUGCAAGUCGAGCGGCAGCGAGGGGUGCUUGCACCCUGUCGGCGAGCGGCGGACGGCUGAGUAACGCGUGGGAACGUGCCCCAAAGUGAGGAAUAACUGCCCGAAAGGGUAGCUAAUACCGCAUAUUAUCUUCGGAUCAAAGGAUUUAUCCGCUUUGGGAGCGGCUCGCGUCGGAUUAGGUAGUUGGUGAGGUAAUGGCUCACCAAGCCGACGAUCCGUAGCUGGUCUGAGAGGAUGACCAGCCAGACUGGAACUGAGACACGGUCCAGACUCCUACGGGAGGCAGCAGUGAGGAAUCUUCCACAAUGGGCGAAAGCCUGAUGGAGCAACGCCGCGUGCAGGACGAAGGCCUUCGGGUUGUAAACUGCUUUUAUAAGUGAGGAAUAUGACGGUAACUUAUGAAUAAGGAUCGGCUAACUACGUG
rnacentral:rRNA from 1 species